GUUAAUAUAUACUUAAUCAGAACUUAUGGAAAACUGAUUCUCACACUCUUAUUCUCACACUCCCAUUCCAGAGGGAGAAGUUGCUAUUAUAGAGAUGACUAUAAUUCCAGCAAGAUUAGCUAGAGACAGAGUAUCAAUUGUGCUUUGAUAUUCUAUAAUAUUUUAACAUUAGAGCAAUUUCUAAAUUGGUAAGUUAUGUGAUACUUCUAUAAAGUUAAUUAAUAUACCACUAUUAGGGGAAAUAAUUCAUAUGCCUGAGCAGGGAAUUUUAUCUCCUUUCAAAUAUGUGAUCCACAUGCUAUACUUUUUCACAGAGUGUUAGAAAGCAUUAGAACAAAAUGUCAAAACGACAUGAAUGGUCAAUGCUAACUAGAGGUUUAAUAAAUAAAUAAAAUGGGCCCUUGAAUUCAUUAUAGAUUGCCAGAGCCUUUUUAGAGAGCAUUUUGGCAAUAUCUUUCAAGAACUAUAAUAAUAUCUGUGCCCUUUGCUUCAGUAAUUUCACUUCUGGGAAUCUCUCAGGAAAGAAUCCAAAUACAGAAAAAGUGAUAUGCAUGAAAAUAAUCAUAAACUUUGUAGAACCAUUUAUAAUAAUAAUGACAGCCCUUGGAAUUAUCCAUAACAAGAAAAUAAUUAACUGAAUUCUUCCUUUAAAAAUAUGAAUAUGAACAAUCCUGGAGAGUAAUACAUACGAAUUAUAAUGGAAGGACUAAGACCAUGUGUUUUGGUAUGUCUUUGGUUGCAAGAAAAGACAUAGGCUUUGGCAGAUCAAGGAAAGAAAUUUAUUACGAGGACAUGGGGUCUUUGUAUAGUCCAAGAAAAAUCUGGGUAAUCAAACCUAGUCAAGGUAAGAAAUCAGGGCAGCUCUGAGGCUUCUUGUAGCAAAAACUAGACAAACCUGUCUCCAGGGCACCUCCUCAGGGGAGAAUCAGCUCCAGCAAGUUUCUGUCCAGGUGCAGUCUCCCCAGUCUCCUGUCUCCCCUUUGGUCUGGCUUGAAUCCUAUGCUCACUUUGUGAUCAGUGUGAGAGGGCACCCUGAUUGACAACCCCACUCAGACCACCCAUAGAAGGAGAGUGACUCUCCUCAGGUUAAAGGGAGUACACUGUACACAGAGGAGGGAAGAAUGGAUGCUAAGCAGAGCAAAACAACAGAUUAACAACACAGAGUAAAAUGUGGAUGUGUAACCGAUGUGAUUCUGCAAUCUGUAUUUGGGGUAAAAUUGGGAGUUCAUAACCAACUUGAAUCUAAUGUAUGAAAUAUGAUAUGUCAAGAGCUUUAUAAUGUUUUGAACAACCAAUAAAAAAAAAUUAAAAAAAAA
rnacentral:lncRNA from 1 species